GCUUCACGCUAAAGUUGAACCAGAUUCAACUUCUGCGUCAACGUAACGUCAGGACUAGCGUCAUAUUGUAAAUCCGGCUAUAGUCUUUUGAUCCUAAUGUAUGUUGUCUUCAAAAUUUCAGAUACGAUGAGGGUGGGUGGAGCCCACACGCCCAUAAAUAUGGAGAAAAGCACAUUUUAAAAUAGCAAAUCCUCUUAUUUAUGGAGAAGUGCAACAGGGAACGACAUUUCGGAUACGGUGAGAGUGGGUGGAGUCCACACGCCCAUAAAUUAGGACGAAAGCAGUUUUAAAGUGACAAAUCCUCUUAUUUAUGGAGAAUUGCAACAGGGAACGACAUUUCGGAUACGGUGAGAGUGGGUGGAGUCCACACGCCCAUAAAUUAGGACGAAAGCAGUUUUAAAGUGACAAAUCCUCUUAUUUAUGGAGAAUUGCAACAGGGAACGACAUUUCGGAUACGAUGAGGGUGGAUGGAGUCCACACGCCCAUAAAUAUGGAGAAAAGCACAUUUUAAAGGAACGAAUCCUCUUAUUUAUGGAGAAGUGCAACAGUGAACGACAUUUCGGAUACGAUGAGGGUGGGUAGAGUCCACACGCCCAUAAAUAAGGACAAAAGCGGUUUUAAUCCUUAUGGACAUCCUGAUGCUGUAAAGAGUCUGACAAAACAGAUCCUAUUGGACUAUUCUACUAGU